rnacentral:rRNA from 1 species
CAGUAGCCACGGGAAUACGAAGGGUGCAAGCGUUACUCGGAAUUACUGGGCGUAAAGCGUGCGUAGGUGGUGGUUUAAGUCCGUUGUGAAAGCCCUGGGCUCGACCUGGGAAUUGCAGUGGAUACUGGGUCACUAGAGUGUGGUAGAGGAUAGUGGAAUUUCCGGUGUAGCAGUGAAAUGCGUAGAGAUCGGAAGGAACAUCUGUGGCGAAGGCGACUAUCUGGGCCAACACUGACACUGAGGCACGAAAGCGUGGGGAGCAAACAGGAUUAGAUACCCCCGUAGUCCCUGUCUCUUAUAC